rnacentral:lncRNA from 1 species
CAUUACUCUAUCAGUUAAUCUUCUACGAUCAAUAUGGUGGAUUAUCUCGAGCUCCGCAGUAUUUAUUGCUGCACGACCUAUGAUGUGAAAGUAUUGUCGCACGUUCUACAAAAUGAUAAAGUGAUGGUUCACUCCAUGAAGCAAUAAGACAGUCGAACACUGUCUACGAGCGCUGCAGUAUUAAAUGAAGGAUAGUCGAAAAAAGUGACUUGGAUCUACGAUGAUAAACUCCCUUCACUCGAUAAAACUACGCAAUCAAACUCGGGAGUCGGGGGGCAGGUGUUGGGGUUGAUCCUCGUCACUUAACUAACUACCCUACUUCCUCGACUCUCAGCUGACUAAGGGAGCUACACCAACUAGGCUACUACGAUUC